rnacentral:misc_RNA from 1 species
GGAAGUAAAAGUCGAACAAGGUCUCCGUUGGUGAACCAGCGGAGGGAUCAUUACAGGACUCGCAAGACUCCUACAACCCUGUGAACUUAACUAUAAGCACGUUGCUUCGGCGGGUGUCUCGGAGGGGGUUCUCCCCCCCCGAGACGCUAAACCCGCCGGCAGCCUACUAUACUCUGUCUCUUUGCGUUGGCAUCUCGAGUACAAUCAAACAAGUUAAAACUUUCAACAACGGAUCUCUUGGUUCUG